CCCCCCAUGGGGGCCCUGGCCCUGCCCGGGGGGGUGGGCGAGGGGGACCCCUGGCUCCCUGAAGCCCCCGCUCUCCUACUUUUGGGGCGCCUGGCAGCUGCCGACGAGCCCAGCCGAGCCCUGGCCACUGCCCCUGUCAUUUCGGGGCUCCUCCGCUACCUGACAGGGGUCUCUGCCCCGGCCCCCCGGGCUGCCCGGGUGUUGCAGCGCCUGACAGGACACCCUGCUUUUUUGGGGGCGCUGGUCCGGGCUUACAUCCCCUCCCUGCUCCACUCCUGGCUGGUCCUCGGCCUAGCACCGUCCCAGGCCGAGGAGCUGUCACAGCCCGGGGGACUCAGGCAUACGGCUGCCCCCCCGCACCCGCGCCAGGCACGCCUCAAGGAGUUGGGUGAGGGACUCUUGCGCAACCUGGGGGCAGCGGCGGCAGCCCCCUUCGGCGUGGGGCUGCUGACCCACAUGCUGCGCUGCGGGGCCCCCCCGGCCCGCCUGGCCUGUGCCACCGCCCUGCCCCUGCUCACCAGGCCAGCGUCCCCGGCACGGGGGCUGCUGUGGGGAGGGGGGGCGGUGGCCCUGCUGCUCUCGGCAGUGGCCCGGGGCCCCACGUCCCCCUACGAGCCACCCCCAGCCUUCGCACUCUAUGCUGCCGAUGCUAUCGCCCUCCUGCGGGGACAUGCUGGGGACGCGCCGGGGGAUGGCGAGGAUGCGCCAGGACACACCGGCGCCAAGGACCCGCAGGUGCGUGGAGAUGGGGACACCGAGGACCCGUGCGGCCAUGGGGAUGCUGAGGACCGGUGGGGACAGAGGGACAGACGUGGGGAUAGUGGCGACACCCCUGGGGAGAACGGUGACCUGCAGAGACCUCUGGACCGGCACAAGGAACUCAAAGACCCGUGGGGACACGCAGGUGCCUUUGGGGACACCGAGGACACCUGGGGACACGUGGAUGGCCACGCAACCUCUCCAGCAGAUGGACACGGUGACACUGGGGAUGCGCAAGGGCGUGCCGAUGAACGCGGGAACCCGUGGGGACACGCGGACAGGCUGAGGGACGCUGAGGACUUGUGGGGAUCCAGAGGAUCCCUGUGUAUCCUGUCCUCUGUGAUCCUCUACCCUCCGCCCAUGCUGUCCCCUAUAUCCCCAGCAUCUCCAGAGCCAUUUUCCCCGGGGUCCCCCUGUCCCGAAGGGUCCCCGAGAGCUGCUAAACGUCCCCGAGCAUCCUCUUGUCCCCAGCUGUCCCCAGACCCUCCCAACCUUAAUUCCCAAGAGGCCCCAAGACCCCCCAAAUGUCCCCUACUAUCCUCUUCUCCACUGUCCCCGGACAUCCCCAGCCCCUGUUCCCAGGUGUCUCUGAGGUCCUCCGACCCAUGUCCUCAACUGUCCCCGUGUCCCCCAUUGUCCCCAAACCCCUGCAACCCCCAUCCUCAACCAUCCCCGUGUCCCUGGGUGUCCCCAGUGUCCUCCAGCCCAUCUCCUCAACCAUCUCCCUGUCCCCAAGCCUCCCCAAGCUCCAACCCCUGUCCCCAAACCUCCCCAAACUCCUCCAACCCAUCUCCACCACUAUCCCCGAGGUCCCCCAACCCGUGUCCCCGAGCGUCCCCAAGCUUAUCCGACCCACCUCCACCACCAUCCUUAUGCCUCCAGACAUCCCCAGGGUCCUCGAACCCGUGUCCCCAGCCGUCUCCCCAUCCCCAAGCCUCCCCAAGUUCCUCUAACCCCUGUCCCCAAGCUUCUCUGAGUUCCUCAAACCCGUCUCCAGUACCGUCUCCAGGCCCCCAAGCAUCACCACCCCCCCCAGCCACCUGUACCCCUGUGUCCCCAACGUGUCCCUAUUCCCAGACCCCCCAUGACCUCCUCCUCCUACCCAACGGUACCCACCCAGGGGUGCCGGUGGCCCGGGCAGCCCUGACCCAGGGGUCCCCUGUCUUGGGAGCCAUGUUGGGGGGGGCCUUUGCCGAGGCUCACCAGUCAGCGGUGGCCUUAGGCUGUGCCCCCCGCCACCCUCUCCUUCUCCUCCUCCAUUUUGUCCAUGGCUGCCGGGGCAGCCCCAGGAACGGGUGUCCCCUCCUGUGUUCCCCUGUGUCCACUGGCACUGCUGUCGCUGCCGUCGCCUUGGCCCACCGUUACCUGGUGGACGGCUUUGAGGAUGUGAUGGCCACUGCCGUCACUGCAUCCCCCAGUGCGCUCUGGGUCUUGGCCGAGCGGUGGGGUUGCGCCCUGUUGGCCACUCGGGCCGCCCAGGCUAUUUUGGAGGGGCCACCCCACAACGUGGCCCCCCGCUUGGUUCGGGUAGCCCAGCUGGCUCGAUGUCCCCCUCGCCUGGCCCGGGCCUUGAUGACUGCUGUGGCACCCCAGGGGGCCCAACCCCACCUUGAUAUGGGAGAGCCAAGGGGUUGGGAUGACCCCCUGCUGCGACCCCCUAGAGGCACUGAUGGGGACCUCAGAGAUGUCCAGGAGGACCUUGGAGACCUGGAGGGUGACUUUGGGGUCCCUUAUGAGGACCUUGGGGACACCGAUGGAGACCUCAGCAACAUGGUGGACCCCUUUAGGGACCCCUCUAGUGAUCUCGGGGACUCCUUAGGUGAAGAUAAUGUGGACAUGGAGGUCAAGGGGCCUCUCUAAGACCUCGGGGACCCCCAGCAGGACCUUGGGGACCACUGCAUGGUUAUUUGGGGACCUUGGGGACCACUGCAUGGAUGUUGGGGACCCCUUAGGUGAAGACAUGGAGGACAUGGAGGUCAGGCAGGGGACCUUUCUGAAACUUUGGGGACACCC